GUUGAUCCGUCUGCGCAUGCUCAAGGGGGGACGGUUAAAUUCAAAACCAACAACAACUUUGAUGGCUACUAGCUAACAUAUUACAAUUGUUCGAGAACAAGUUGCUACGUGGCAGAAAACAUAAGUAUUCAUAUGGAUUCCAUUGAUGAUGGGGCUCAACCAAUCACAGACAUAGAAACCUUGUUGAAUGCUCCCCUCCAUGUUUCACACCAAAGAAAUAAGAGUUCGAAUCCUGUUUUCCAAUCUCAAGACAUUUACCAAGUUUGAGAUGACCGUAGUUGUUACCUCCACCUACCCCAUCUGUCUCCUUCAUGUGCAGAACUUCCAAAAGCACAUUGGAAACACAACGAAAGACCAGGUGGAGGACAUUGUAUCAUCAGUAACACCAGCCAAGAACUACUUGAUCAAGAUUGUCAAGAGGAUCCAUAAAUGUCUGCUGUGAGACCAGCUCCAGUAAAUAAUAGUGCUAUAUUCCAUGUAGUGAAUGAAAAAAUGUACACUGAACAAAAAUAGAAAUGCAACAAUUUCAAAGAUUUUACUGAGUUACAGUUCAUAUAAGGAAAUCAGUCAACUGAAAUAAAUUCAUUAGGCCCUAAUCUAUGGAUUUCACAUGACUCGGCAGGGGUGCAGCCUUGGGUGGGCCGGGGAUGGCAUAGGCCCACCCACUGGGCAGCCAGGCCCAGCCAAUCAGAAUGAGUUUCACCCCACAAAAGGGAUUUUUACAAACAGAAAUACUCCUCAGCAUCUCAGCCCCACCCACCCCUUCACAGGCAAUAUGCCACACCUGGCAGGUGGAUGGAUUGUCUUAACAAAGGAGAAAUGCUCAAUAAUAGGGAUGUAAACAACUUUGUGCACAAAAUUUGAGAGAAAUAAGCUUUUUGUGCGUAUGGAAAAUGUCUGGGAUCUUUUUAUUUCAGCUCACGAAACACCCCAUUAUGCAUUCUAUGCGAUAGUUUUAAAUGUUGUCUACUGUACAUUUGAAUAAUUAUUGUAUCAUUUUUAAGGGAGGAAUAGUUAUCUUGUAUUGUAAAAGUUUGCAUUUGCAUAUCACCUUUGAUGUAUUGCCUCAAGAAACAACUUAAAAAAGCUUGAACAACACAAAUUGUCUUAAUUGACAAUCGUUAUUAAAAUGUUAAUA